rnacentral:rRNA from 1 species
AUUGAACGCUGGCGGCAGGCCUAACACAUGCAAGUCGAGCGGAGCGGCGGACGGGUGAGUGAUGCCUAGGAAUCUGCCUGGUAGUGGGGGAUAACGUCCGGAAACGGGCGCUAAUACCGAAAACUAGCAGAUGCGCCUAGGUCGGUUUAGCAAGUUGGUGGGGUAAAGGCCUACCAAGGCGACGGUCCGUAACUGGUCUGAGAGGAUGAUCAGCCACACUGGAACUGAGACACGGUCCAGACUCCUACGGGAGGCAGCAGUGGGGAAUAUUGGACAAUGGGCGCAAGCCUGAUCCAGCCAUGCCGCGUGUGUGAAGAAGGUCUUCGGAUUGUAAAGCACUUUAAGUUGGGAGGCGUUACCAACAGAAUAAGCACCGGCUAACUUCGUGCCAGCAGCCGCGGUAAUAC